rnacentral:rRNA from 1 species
GGGAUAACACUUAGAAAUAGGUGCUAAUACCGCAUAAGCGCACGGUUCCGCAUGGAACAGUGUGAAAAACUCCGGUGGUAUACGAUGGAUCCGCGUCUGAUUAGCCAGUUGGCGGGGUAACGGCCCACCAAAGCGACGAUCAGUAGCCGGCCUGAGAGGGUGAACGGCCACAUUGGGACUGAGACACGGCCCAAACUCCUACGGGAGGCAGCAGUGGGGAAUAUUGCACAAUGGGGGAAACCCUGAUGCAGCGACGCCGCGUGAGUGAAGAAGUAUCUCGGUACGUAAAGCUCUAUCAGCAGGGAAGAAAAUGACGGUACCUGACUAAGAAGCCCCGGCUAACUACGUGCCAGCAGCCGCGGUAAUACGUAGGGGGCAAGCGUUAUCCGGAUUUACUGGGUGUAAAGGGAGCGUAGACGGCAGCGCAAGUCUGGAGUGAAAUGCCGGGGCCCAACCCCGGAACUGCUUUGGAAACUGUGCAGCUCGAGUGCAGGAGAGGUAAGCGGAAUUCCUAGUGUAGCGGUGAAAUGCGUAGAUAUUAGGAGGAACACCAGUGGCGAAGGCGGCUUACUGGACUGUAACUGACGUUGAGGUUCGAAAGCGUGGGGAGCAAACAGGAUUAGAUACCCUGGUAGUCCACGCCGUAAACGAUGAUUACUAGGUGUCGGGGGGCCAAGGCCCUCCGGUGCCGCCG